rnacentral:sRNA from 1 species
GCAUUCGUUGUUCUUCUACUCCAUCUCGCCUAUCUAGCAGAACCGCCUAUAAAAUUACUCUACAUUGAAAUGUGCGGCGGUAGUUACCAACGAAUUAAACCCACGCGGCCAAUGUCAGCAUCUCGGUUUCCAGUUAGCCUCCUUUCAAUCUUCCGUCUAUUAUGAGGUUGCCGGACUCAAAAGGUUGCAAUCAUUCCCACUGCAGCUACAAGGCUUCCGAUCACCCUCAUUGCCAUGAUUGUUCGCACCCGGAUGUGCUUGAACUAGAAGAUGCGGUUGCAGAGGGAGUAGAAGCAAGGGCCGAACCGGUCUGAGAGCCAGUACCCUGGGUAGUAUUAGUGGAUGUAUUGACGGAUACUGUGCCCUGUGGAGGAUAGACAGAACCGACAGCCUUUAUUUCAAAGGACCCGGAGGUAGCAUAUACGUCUGUAUGAUGUUAACAUAAAUAUCCUUCCAAGGGAACCCACGUACCGGAAGAGUUGAGCGGAUUCGUGAUGAGAAGGGUGUAGCCCGUAGCUGGAGUAGCAUCUCCUCUACGAAGUUAUGAGCUACAGUUCGGCAAGUGCGAUGUUAGGACCUGGUGAUGGCAUUGACGGAUUGAUGGUUAGCGAAGUUUGCUUUUGCAUGCCUGUCAACAGAAAUGUAUGUGAAUACUGCUCACAAGUACAUUGCUGUCCGAAUUUGCCAAAAAGACAGAGAAUUCUGUAGGGUCCGUGCCAUCCCAGGCAAGAGUAUUCAGACUCUGGGCGACCCCUAUAUAUAACAUCGAUCGUUGGCCCACGGGGCCGGGUGAGGGAAGUGUAAUACGAUAUGAUCGCGCGUGGACCAAUGACAGAUAACAAUUCAAGAUCCACAGCAAUGGGGUUAAGGUACGGAGUAAGCGUAGUCGAAAAGCUGGAGAUGAUGUGCACGGAACUUACACCAAUGAGCUGCAGAUGGCUCUGUGAUGGUGAGGGCGGCGCUGACGAUAGAGGCGAGGAUGAGGGGGGCGAUGAUGAUGUAUCUCAUGGCGAGAAGGUGUGCAGCGGGGAUGGAAUGACAUAAGACAGCAGAGAUGAUAUCAACGAGUCACGGUGUUUGAUACAGCAGGUCAUAGCGCAUCGCCAGAUACAUUUAUGACAUGCAUAA